GGCCGGGCCCGCGGCACUGCGAGCGUUCCGAACCGGGUCAGAUCCGGGAGGAAGCAGCCCUAAGGAUUGCUCGCAGGUGCCCGGGUUGAGCGCCCG
rnacentral:SRP_RNA from 1 species